UAAAGGUAUUCCGGUAGACGAUGGGGAUGCGUUCCAUUAGAUAGUAGGCGGGGUAACGGCCCACCUAGUCUUCGAUGGAUAGGGGUUCUGAGAGGAAGGUCCCCCACAUUGGAACUGAGACACGGUCCAAACUCCUACGGGAGGCAGCAGUGAGGAAUAUUGGUCAAUGGGCGAGAGCCUGAACCAGCCAAGUAGCGUGAAGGAUGACUGCCCUAUGGGUUGUAAACUUCUUUUAUAAAGGAAUAAAGUCGGGUAUGGAUACCCGUUUGCAUGUACUUUAUGAAUAAGGAUCGGCUAACUCCGUGCCAGCAGCCGCGGUAAUACGGAGGAUCCGAGCGUUAUCCGGAUUUAUUGGGUUUAAAGGGAGCGUAGAUGGAUAUUUAAGUCAGUUGUGAAAGUUUGCGGCUCAACCGUAAAAUUGCAGUUGAUACUGGAUAUCUUGAGUGCAGUUGAGGCAGGCGGAAUUCGUGGUGUAGCGGUGAAAUGCUUAGAUAUCACGAAGAACUCCGAUUGCGAAGGCAGCCUGCUAAGCUGCAACUGACAUUGAGGCUCGAAAG
rnacentral:rRNA from 1 species